GCACCUUUCGGGGUGAGUGGCAGACGGGUGAGUAACGCGUGGGAACGUGCCCUUCAGUUCGGAAUAACCCAGGGAAACUUGGGCUAAUACCGGAUACGUGCGAGAGCAGAAAGAUUUAUCGCUGAAGGAUCGGCCCGCGUCUGAUUAGCUAGUUGGUAGGGUAAUGGCCUACCAAGGCGACGAUCAGUAGCUGGUCUGAGAGGAUGAUCAGCCACAUUGGGACUGAGACACGGCCCAAACUCCUACGGGAGGCAGCAGUGGGGAAUAUUGGACAAUGGGCGCAAGCCUGAUCCAGCCAUGCCGCGUGAGUGAUGAAGGCCUUAGGGUUGUAAAGCUCUUUCGGCGGGGACGAUAAUGACGGUACCCGCAGAAGAAGCCCCGGCUAACUUCGUGCCAGCAGCCGCGGUAAUACGAAGGGGGCUAGCGUUGUUCGGAAUCACUGGGCGUAAAGGGCGCGUAGGCGGCUUUGUAAGUCGGGGGUGAAAGCCUGUGGCUCAACCACAGAAUUGCCUUCGAUACUGCAUGGCUUGAGACCGGAAGAGGUAAGUGGAACUGCGAGUGUAGAGGUGAAAUUCGUAGAUAUUCGCAAGAACACCAGUGGCGAAGGCGGCUUACUGGUCCGGUUCUGACGCUGAGGCGCGAAAGCGUGGGGAGCAAACAGGAUUAGAUACCCUGGUAGUCCACGCCGUAAACGAUGAAUGCCAGCCGUUGGCGAGCUUGCUCGUCAGUGGCGCAGCUAACGCUUUAAGCAUUCCGCCUGGGGAGUACGGUCGCAAGAUUAAAACUC
rnacentral:rRNA from 1 species